rnacentral:siRNA from 1 species
AACAAGUGUGACUGACAUGCC